rnacentral:rRNA from 1 species
UACGUAGGAUGCAAGCGUUGUCCGGAAUUAUUGGGCGUAAAGAGCGCGCAGGCGGUAUGACAAGUCAGAUGUGAAAGAGGCCGGCUUAACCGGCAAGGGUCAUUUGAAACUGUCAGACUAGAGUGUAGCAGAGGAUAGUGGAAUUCCCGGUGUAGUGGUGAAAUGCGUAGAUAUCGGGAGGAACACCAGUGGCGAAGGCGACUAUCUGGGCUGCAACUGACGCUGAGGCGCGAAGGCUAGGGUAGCAAACAGG